rnacentral:tmRNA from 1 species
GGGGUUGUACUGGUUUCGACGGGUCCACUGAAGAUGGAGAAGCUGUCCGUGGCGGGCACCACGUUAAAAGUCCAAAUUAAAAUUAAACGCUGAAGAUAAUUUAGCAUUAGCUGCCUAAGCGCAGCUCACUGGUCCUUGUUCUCCGCGGCAGGGGCAGCCAGUGUCACCCAGCGGAACACUCUGUUGCCAAAGCUUUGAGGCAGCAGAAAAUUCAUGAAGCUACUAAAGGGCAAAGCCUGCUGGCGGGCGCUGCCUGGAGGGAAUGUCAAAACACCUGCUAUGACAGUAGAAGUACAUUGGAUCUGGAUUCGGACAGGGGUUCGAUUCCCCUCAGCUCCAUUU